rnacentral:rRNA from 1 species
AGAGUUUGAUCUGGCUCAGAGCGAACGCUGGCGGCGUGCUUAACACAUGCAAGUCGAGUGCGCGUUUCCGUAGCAAUACGGAAAUGGCGCACGGCGCACGGGUGCGUAACACGUGGGUAAUCUGCCCUCUGAUGGGGAAUAACUCGCCGAAAGGCGAGCUAAUUCCGCAUAACAUUCCUUGGACUCCGGUCCGAGGAUUCAAAGGCGUAAGUCGUCGGAGGUGGAGCCCGCGCACGAUUAGCUAGUUGGUGAGGUAAUGGCUCACCAAGGCUAUGAUCGUUAGCUGGUCUGAGAGGAUGGCCAGCCACACUGGAACUGAGACACGGUCCAGACUCCUACGGGAGGCAGCAGUGGGGAAUCUUGCACAAUGGGCGAAAGCCUGAUGCAGCGACGCCGCGUGGGGGAUGAAGCUUCUCGGAGUGUAAACCCCUUUCGACCGGGACGAAUACCUCGCAAGAGGGGUGACGGUACCGGUAUAAGAAGCCCCGGCUAACUACGUGCCAGCAGCCGCGGUAAGACGUAGGGGGCCAGCGUUGCUCGGAAUUACUGGGUGUAAAGGGUUCGUAGGCGGUGUGGCAAGUCGGGAGUGAAAUCUCUGGGCUCAACCCAGGGGCUGCUUCCGAAACUGCCGUGCUAGAGUGUGGGAGAGGCGCGUGGAAUUGCAGGUGUAGCGGUGAAAUGCGUAGAUAUCUGCAGGAACACCCGUGGCGAAAGCGGCGCGCUGGACCACUACUGACGCUGAGGAACGAAAGCUAGGGGAGCAAACAGGAUUAGAUACCCUAGUAGUCC